GUUUCAGCAGCCGCGGUAAUACGGAGGGUGCGAGCGUUAAUCGGAAUUACUGGGCGUAAAGCGCGCGUAGGCGGUUUGUUAAGUCGGAUGUGAAAUCCCCGGGCUCAACCUGGGAAUGGCAUUCGAUACUGGCCGACUAGAGUACGAGAGAGGGAGGUAGAAUUCCACGUGUAGCGGUGAAAUGCGUAGAUAUGUGGAGGAAUACCGGUGGCGAAGGCGGCCUCCUGGCUCGAUACUGACGCUGAGGUGCGAAAGCGUGGGUAGCAAACAGGAUUAGAUACCCCCGUAGUCC
rnacentral:rRNA from 1 species